UUUAAGCCCUAAAAAUGAAUGAUAAUUCUUAUAUCA
rnacentral:tRNA from 1 species